GAUGAACGCUAGCUACAGGCUUAACACAUGCAAGUCGCGGGCAGCAUUCACUUAGCUUGCUAAGUGAGAUGGCGACCGGCGCACGGGUGAGUAACGCGUAUCCAACCUGCCCUUGUCCACGGGAGUAACCCGGUAGAAAACCGGCCUAAUACCGUAUGAGGUCACAGCGGACAUCCAACUGUGACGAAAGGUUUAGCGGAACAAGGAGUGGGGAUGCGUCCGAUUAGCUUGACGGCGGGGUAACGCCCACCGUGGCGACGAUC
rnacentral:rRNA from 1 species